rnacentral:tRNA from 1 species
AGCCCGGUCGUCUAGCGGCCAAAGGAUAACCCGGCUUGGGAUGCGGGGCUCUGGACCCCGUGGCCCGGGUUCGAAUCCCGGCCGGGCUA